AGACAAUGCAGCACAACCACAGCCACAAGCUAAAACAGACUGGAAAGGAGAGUUUGUUCAUGAUGACAAACUGAAAAUAAAAUGGUGUAAACCUACUGAAUUGAUCCCAGGAAGAAAUGAAUCUGAACUACAAAACCUGACACUCAGCUAUGUCAGUCUCUCACAGAUCCAAGGUUUUAUUUUGCUUCUGGUGUACAGCAUUUUGGUUAUUAUUGUGGUCUGUUCUGCCUGCUGGUGGUUCACGAAAGAGGGAGACGAACUGCCUCAGGAAGAAGAUCGUCUUUAACAGUAAAAUUACACUUUGUCAAACUUCAUAAAAUUUAGAUUACACGGACUGAGGUUUAAGGAAGAAGAAUUAGUCAACAUCCCCCUAUUGUAACUGAGAAUCAUUCACCUUAUCUAAAAUUUAAAAAGGGAUAUAGAUCAUCCUAGAAUGUUUAAAGGGAUAAUUCACCCAAAAAUGACAACUUCUGUUAUUUAAUCAUCCUCAAGUCAUUCCAAACCUUGUGUAUUUUAAGUGAAUUGUUCACAUCAUUUAUUUAUUUAUUUUUCUUGAGAAAACCUGCAGUCUUUUUUUUUUUUAUAACCAGCAGUCAUACAGUAUACUGCUUUGGUGUUUAGAAAUAGUUAAAUUCUGAAACUUGUUUCCAACACAACUUUAUUAAAAAAGAAGAAAAUGAUUGAAGAGUACAUUAUGAAUGGAUGGAAGCAUGAAUUUUAUAAAAGCAUUGAUACUUUUUGAAAGCUUGACUGACUGUAACUUUUAGUUAUACUUUCAGUUGAGGUUUUGUCAAACCAAGGUUUGUCUUCACCCUUUUUUAUGAAAACCCUUUAGCGCCUUUGGGGUUCCUAAUCGAAAAUUACCAGCUUUUAAAAAUCGCUUGUUAUGCUGUAUUAUCGAUAAAUAUUGUAUUCAGUAUUGUAUUUUUUUAUCACCUUGUUUUCUUUCACUUGACACAGGUUUUGUAUUUCUUUUUGCAAUGGAUUAAUCUGAGUUUAUGCACCUCAGUUUUUGAGUAAAUAAAUAAAUACCUUAUUAUGAUUUUUGUCAAUAUUAAAAAACAUUUGAAAUCACACCUGUGUUUCUAGCUUAUAAAUAUCUCAUUAUGCUAUAUUAUCACCAAGCAUUGGAUUCAAUCUUGUUGUCAGCUUGUUUUCUUUCAGGUAGGAGAGGUUAUGUUUCUUUGUUUUUUAUUUUCACACUUGUAGCUUUGUUGUGCUGCAUUGUCUUUGUAUCAUUCUGCUGCUUCAUCAUCCUCAAAUUUGGAACAUAACUUUAGAUUUAUAGCUUUGAUUUUCUUGCAG